UACGUAGGUGGCAAGCGUUGUCCGGAAUUAUUGGGCGUAAAGCGCACGCAGGCGGUCUUGUAAGUUUGACGUGAAAGCUCCCGGCUUAACUGGGAGAGGUCGUUGAAGACUGCAAGACUUGAGGAAAUGAGAGGGGUGCAGAAUUCCCGGUGUAGUGGUGGAAUGCGUAGAUAUCGGGAGGAAUACCAGUGGCGAAAGCGGCACCCUAGCAUUUUUCUGACGCUCAUGUGCGAAAGCGUGGGGAGCGAACGGG
rnacentral:rRNA from 1 species